CAAUAAGCUGGUUGCGUAAGUUUGCACACCCCUAAACUAAUACUUAGUUGAAGCAGGUUUAGAUUUUCUCACAGCGUUCAGUAUUUUUGGGGAAGAGUCCGUCGGUUUGGAGCGUCUUGAUUUAGCAUUGUUAUACCAUUCUUCCUUGCAGAAGUUUUCUAACUCUGUCAGAUUGUCUGGGCGUCUCCUGUACACAGCCCUCUUCAGGUCACCACACAGAGAUUGGAUUGGAUUUAGGUCUGAGCUCUGGUUGGACCGUUCCAACAUCUUGAUCUUGUUUAGGUGAAGCCGUUCCUUUGUUGAUCUGGAGGUCUGCUUCGGGUCGUGCUGUAAGGUGAAAUUCCUCUUCAUCUGAAGUGUUGAACAGAAGUCUUAAGGGAAACUGACCGGUAUUUGGAGCUGUUCAUUAUUCCCUGAUUAAAGCCCCAGUUCCAGCUGAAGAAUAAAGUACGAUGCUGCCGCCACCGUGCUUCACCGUGCUUCACCGUGCCCCGCCGUGCCCCGCCGUGCCCCGCCGUGCCCCGCCGUGCUCCGCCGUGCCUCGCCGUGCCCCGCCGUGCCCCGCCGUGCUCCGCCGUGCUCCACCGUGUGGAUGCUGUUGUUAUGGUGAUGUGCUGUGGUGUUUUUUUUGUGCCAAACAUAUCUUCUGGUAUUCUGGCCAAAAAGUUCAACUUUGGUCUCAUCAGACCAGAACACAUUAUUCCACAUGGUUUUGGGAUGUAGGAUGUAUUCUUUAUUUAUUUUUGGUUGCCACGAUACACCACAGCCCAGAGACAUGAGGAAUUCGGGAGAUUGUUGUCACAUGUAGGGAGCAGCCAGUACUUUCCAGAAAUUGCUGUAACUCUUUUAACGUCGCUGUAGGCCUCUCAGCAGCCUCCCUGACCAGUUUCUCCUGAUCUUCUCAUUCAUUUUAGAAGGAACGCCCUGUUCUUAGCACUGUCCUGCCAUAUUCUCUCCACUUGUUUAUUAUUAUCUUUACGGUGUUCCAUGCUCUAUCCAAUGCCUUGGAAAUGUUUUUGUAACUCUCUCCUGAUCGAUAUUUUUCAACAGUGAGAUCCCGUACCUUCUUUGUAAGAUCUUUGCAGCCCAGGGCUUUUCCAGUUGGACGUUACCAAGAAGAUGUGAGGAGAAUCCUAGAGGAACAGCUGGACUGUAUUUAGGGUUAAUCAGUCACUAAUUGAUAACAGGUGUACACUAAUUAACAUUUAAUGAGUUUGAAUGUGAUUGGUUGAUUCUGAACACUGCCACAUUCCCAAUUAUAGAAGGGUGUGCAGACUUACGCACGCUGGGGAUUG
ensembl:lncRNA